AUUGAACGCUGGCGGCAGGCCUAACACAUGCAAGUCGAGCGAGCGGCGGACGGGCGAGUAAUGUAUGGGAAACUGCCUGAUGGAGGGGGGUAAAUACUGGAAACGGUAGAGAAUACCGCAUACCAUCAGAUGUGCCCAGAGGGGAUUAGCUAGUAGGUGGGGUAACGGCUCACCAAGGCGACGAACCCUAGCUGGUCUGAGAGGAUGGCCAGCCACACUGCAACUGAGACACGGUCCAGACUCCGACGGUAGGCAGCAGUGGGGAAUAUUGCACAAUGGGCGCAAGCCUGAUGCAGCCAUGCCGCGUGUGUGAAGAAGGCCUUCGGGUUGUAAAGCACUGUCAGCGAGGAGGCGUUACCCGCAGAAGAAGCACCGGCUAACUCCGUGCCAGCAGCCGCGGUAAUAC
rnacentral:rRNA from 1 species